rnacentral:rRNA from 1 species
AGUGAACGCUGGCGGUAGGCCUAACACAUGCAAGUCGAACGGCAGCACAGUAAGAGCUUGCUCUUACGGGUGGCGAGUGGCGGACGGGUGAAGAAUACAUCGGAAUCUACUUUUUCGUGGGGGAUAACGUAGGGAGACUUACGCUAAUACCGCAUACGACCUACGGGUGAAAGCAGGGGAUCUUCGGACCUUGCGCGAUUGAAUGAGCCGAUGUCGGAUUAGCUAGUUGGCGGGGUAAAGGCCCACCAAGGCGACGAUCCGUAGCUGGUCUGAGAGGAUGAUCAGCCACACUGGAACUGAGACACGGUCCAGACUCCUACGGGAGGCAGCAGUGGGGAAUAUUGGACAAUGGGCGCUAGCCUGAUCCAGCCAUACCGCGUGGGUGAAGAAGGCCUUCGGGUUGUAAAGCCCUUUUGUUGGGAAAGAAAAGCAGCAGGUUAAUACCCCGCUGUUCUGACGGUACCCAAAGAAUAAGCACCGGCUAACUUCGUG